CAAAACUGUGUCUUUUUUUGUUUUUAUUUUUUUAGGGUGAAAGCUAGUUGCACUCUACAUUUUCCCAUUUACACCCUAUUUCUCCCAAAGUCCAAAUGCACCCUUACCCUUCACCUGAAACGCAACCCUUGUUCUUUCUUUCCCCUAAAGACGAGAAGAUCUGGUGCUCCUUGCUUUCAUUUUUCGACCAAGUCGACUAAACCCAGUAGAUAUAGGAUCCCCUGUGUCUUGUGUCUUGCAAUUUCUCUUUUUCGUCAAUACUCAACUAAGAUUUGUUAGGCGAUAUACACGAAGAUCAGAGCAAGAUUGAUGUGAAGGAUUUGUUCGGGUUUGAUUUUGGAAAGGAAGUGGAGACGUGAUUACCUUCGUGGGUAUUGGAGAGGGAGGACGACGGAAGAGAGUGCUGCUUGUUAGGGUUUGUUAAGUGCGUGUUUGGUGAUUUUGAAAAAUGGAGUGUGAAUGAGAAUAUGUGAAAUCCAACUAGCCCCCACCUAGCAAAAGCAAAGUCAAAACGACGCCGUUUUAAGUUAAUAAAAUUGAGAAAAAAACCCAAAUAAAACGUUGUUUAUAAAAUAGAGCGAAAGAGGGGCAAAAAUAAAGAAACCCAUAAAAUAGAAGAAAGAAAGGGAGACUUCACUCUUAGUCCUGCUUGCUCCGGAUCGUGUGCGAAUGGAUCCUUAAAGUAAGGAUUGUUUUGUUCCCCAAAUGCAAGAACAUAGAUAGACCCCGAUGUACGUACAUGUAAAAAAAAAAAAAAAACUGUUUUAAUUGUAGCUAUUGUUGCCGUGAAUUAAAUUUAUCGUCAGCCUCUUCUCCUUCUGGAAUUAAGAACAGGAGAUCCAUUCCGAUUUAGGGAUUGAUCUUUCGCAACAGAUCUUCGAUCGAACUUUGUUUUCCAAGGAAUUUCUUUACAGGUUAGGGAUUGAUCUCUUCGAAAUAGUACAACAGCCGCGUGUAAACCUUAUGGCUAAGGAAGGCAUCAAAUUUUGUGGUUAUAGUUGCUUCACUUUUGUUCAUUCUUUGGAUUGCUUUGUUUCCCUUUUUACGUGUAGGGAGUAGGGACUGACAAUAAUUGGAGUAGAUAAUGAAAAUUUGAUGAUUCUUUGUUGUUUUUAGAAAAUCGAGAUUUCGGAUGUGGAUCAUCUUUCUUCUAUAGAGGCACUUCAGUUUACUUGAAUGUCAUUUUUGGGGUCUGUCAUCGUAGGGUAUUUUCAUUUUCUUUUGUUACGUCCUUUCGUCUAAUGGUGAGAGUACAUCUAUUAGUUAUGAGCAGGUUCUCAUCAUCAUAGAUCAUGCAGAUAUUCUACCAGUGUAGGUACAUUUUGUCAUGCUGGAAUUGUGCCUUUUGUAAUAUUUCUGUAGUGAAAUUUCAGGACUCAA